AUUGUACUCCCUCCAUCCCAAAAUUCUNNNNUUAGAUUUGUCUAGAUAUGAAUGUAUCUAGUCAUGUUUUAGUGUUUAGAUACAUGCAUUUCUAGACAAACCUAAGACAAGAAUUAUGGGACGGAGGGAGUAUCAA
rfam:Hordeum vulgare subsp. vulgare, WGS project CAJW01000000 data, contig: morex_contig_55585